rnacentral:rRNA from 1 species
UGGGGAGUCUUCCGCAAUGGACGAAAGUCUGACGGAGCAACGCCGCGUGAGUGAAGACGGCCUUCGGGUUGUAAAGCUCUGUGAUCCGGGACGAAAGAGCCUGAGGUGAAUAGCCUAAGGAAGCGACGGUACCGGAAAAGCAAGCCACGGCUAACUACGUGCCAGCAGCCGCGGUAAUACGUAGGUGGCAAGCGUUGUCCGGAAUUAUUGGGCGUAAAGCGCGCGCAGGCGGCUUCCUAAGUCCAUCUUAAAAGUGCGGGGCUUAACCCAGUGAUGGGAUGGAAACUGGGAAGCUAGAGUAUCGGAGAGGAAAGUGGAAUUCCUAGUGUAGCGGUGAAAUGCGUAGAGAUUAGGAAGAACACCGGUGGCGAAGGCGACUUUCUGGACGAAAACUGACGCUGAGGCGCGAAAGCGUGGGGAGCAAACAGG